ACUCAAAGGAAUUGACGGGGGCCCGCACAAGCGGUGGAGCAUGUGGUUCAAUUCGACGCAACGCGAAGAACCUUACCGGGGCUCGAACGGCAAUUGCUACUCCUGGAAACAGGGGAUUCUCUUCGGAGACGGUUGUCGAGGUGCUGCAUGGCUGUCGUCAGCUCGUGUCGUGAGAUGUUGGGUUAAGUCCCGCAACGAGCGCAACCCUUGCCCUUAGUUGCGACCAGGUUAAGCUGAGCACCCUAAGGGAACUGUCGGCGAAAAGCCGGAGGAAGGUGGGGAUGACGUCAAGUCCUCAUGGCCCUUACGUCCCGGGCUACACACGUGCUACAAUGGUCGGUACAAAGGGUUGCCAACCCGCGAGGGGGAGCUAAUCCCAAAAACCCGACCCCAGUUCGGAUUGCAGUCUGCAACUCGACUGCAUGAAGGCGGAAUCGCUAGUAAUCGCAGAUCAGCGCGCUGCGGUGAAUACGUUCCCGGGCCUUGUACACACCGCCCGU
rnacentral:rRNA from 1 species